rnacentral:rRNA from 1 species
GUAGGGGGGCAAGCGUUGUCCGGGAUUCAUUGGGGCGUAAAGCGCGUGUAGGCGGUUCAAUAGGUCCGAUGUGAAAACUCGAGGGCUCAACUUCGAGAGGCCAUCGGAAACCAUUGGACUAGAGUCCGGAAGAGGAGAGUGGAAUUCCUGGUGUAGCGGUGAAAUGCGCAGAUAUCAGGAGGAACACCGAUGGCGAAGGCAGCUCUCUGGGACGGUACUGACGCUGAGACGCGAAAGCGUGGGGAGCGAACAGGAUUAGAUACCCUGGUAGUCCACGCCGUAAACGAUGGGCACUAGGUGUGGGUGGUGUCGACUCUAUCCGUGCCGCAGCUAACGCAUUAAGUGCCCCGCCUGGGGAGUACGGCCGCAAGGCUA